rnacentral:rRNA from 1 species
GACGAACGCUGGCGGCGUGCCUAAUACAUGCAAGUAGAACGCUGAAGAGAGGAGCUUGCUCUUCUUGGGUGAGUUGCGAACGGGUGAGUAACGCGUAGGUAACCUGCCUUGUAGCGGGGGAUAACUAUUGGAAACGAUAGCUAAUACCGCAUAACAAUGGAUGACACAUGUCAUUUAUUUGAAAGGGGCAAUUGCUCCACUACAAGAUGGACCUGCGUUGUAUUAGCUAGUAGGUGAGGUAAUGGCUCACCUAGGCGACGAUACAUAGCCGACCUGAGAGGGUGAUCGGCCACACUGGGACUGAGACACGGCCCAGACUCCUACGGGAGGCAGCAGUAGGGAAUCUUCGGCAAUGGGGGCAACCCUGACCGAGCAACGCCGCGGGAGUGAAGAAGGGUUUCGGAUCGUAAAGCUCUGUUGUAAGUCAAGAACGGGUGUGAGAGUGGAAAGUUCACACUGUGACGGUAGCUGACCAGAAAGGGACGGCUAACUACGUG